CAAAUACUCCCACCGUUCCAUAUUAGUUGUCGCUAAAACAGAUGUAUCUAGACAUAUUUCAGUCCUAGAUACAUCCCUUUGAGCGACAACUAAUAUGGAACAAAGGGAGUACAUG
rfam:Triticum urartu cultivar G1812 contig1447389, whole genome shotgun sequence.